rnacentral:rRNA from 1 species
GUGCCAGCCGCCGCGGUAAUACUGGCAGCCCGAGUGAUGGCCGAUAUUAUUGGGCCUAAAGCGUCCGUAGCUGGCCGAACAAGUCCGUCGGGAAAUCCACUCGCUCAACGAGUGGCCGUCCGGUGGAAACUCCACACCUUGGGACCGGAAGGCUCGAAGGGUACGGCCGGGGUAGAAGUGAAAUCCUGUAAUCCCGGCCGGACCACCGAUGGCGAAAGCACUUCGAGAAAACGGAUCCGACAGUGAGGGACGAAAGCUAAGAUCGCGAGCCGGAUUAGAUACCCUGGUAGUCC